rnacentral:lncRNA from 1 species
AAAAUGGUCUUGGGCCAUGUAGUACUGAGAAUUAUUUAGAGUCGAUUUAGGCGGUAGCCCAUAUUGACAUAUAAAAAUGCACACAGAAGCUAUUAGAAAUGAAAAUGUGUAACUUUUUGCUCAUUUCUAUGCUAAGGCGUUAUGAUACAAGAAGUCUAAUUGCAAAAGGACUCUUGCAUUUAAUUUUUUUAGAAACAAUAUGGUCUGAUGGCCAGUUUUUUCACUUUUCAAUGGAAAACUUGCAUUUAGUUUUAGCCUUAAUAGGCAUAAAGUUGGACCACUUACUAUCAUACAGAGAA